rnacentral:rRNA from 1 species
GUGACAUUGUUCAACGGCCGCGGUAUCCUAACCGUGCGAAGGUAGCGUAAUCACUUGUUCUUUAAAUGAGGACUAGUAUGAAAGGCAUCACGAGAGUCAUACUGUCUCCUUUCUCUAAUCAGUGAAACUAAUCCCCCCGUGAAGAAGCGGGGAUAGAAAUAUAAGACGAGAAGACCCUAUGGAGCUUUAAACAUAUAAUAUAUGCCCUUUAGCUUCAAAUUUCAGAAAAAUCUCUUAUAUUGGUAUAAUAACUAAUAGUUUUUGGUUGGGGUGACCACGGAAUAAAAAACAACUUCCACAAUGAAAGACUCUCCUUCACUAAGUUAAGGACUACAGCCCUAUACAUCAAUAAAUUGACAUAAUUGACCCA